rnacentral:rRNA from 1 species
CAGCAGUGGGGAAUCUUGGACAAUGGGCGCAAGCCUGAUCCAGCCAUGCCGCGUGGAUGAUGAAGGCCCUAGGGUUGUAAAAUCCUUUCGUUGGGGACGAUAAUGACGGUACCCAAAGAAGAAGCUCCGGCUAACUUCGUGCCAGCAGCCGCGGUAAUACGAAGGGGGCUAGCGUUGUUCGGAUUUACUGGGCGUAAAGCGCGUGUAGGCGGGCUGGAAAGUUGGGGGUGAAAUCCCGAGGCUCAACCUCGGAACUGCCUCCAAAACUUCCAGCCUGGACUCAAGCAGAGGCAAGUGGAAUUGCGAGUGUAGAGGUGAAAUUCGUAGAUAUUCGCAGGAACACCAGUGGCGAAGGCGACUUGCUGGGCUUGUAGUGACGCUGAGACGCGAAAGCGUGGGGAGCAAACAGGAUUAGA